rnacentral:rRNA from 1 species
AAGAAAUGUGGGAAUGUUUCUUGGGGGAGAGAAACGAGAAGGUCUCGCUUUUUUGUUUGCUUGGGGUUUCGUUUUUAAACACACACACUAUAAGUAGAAGAAUUUUUUUUUUAAAAUACUAUUGACUGCGUUGCUCGUCGCAACGUGGACAAGCAGUAUAUAUGUAUACAUACAUACAACUUUCAGCAACGGAUCUCUUGGCUCUCGCAUCGAUGAAGAACGCAGCGAAAUGCGAUAAGUAAUGUGAAUUGCAGAAUCCAGUGAAUCAUCGAAUCUUUGAACGCACCUUGCGCUCCUUGGUAUUCCGAGGAGCAUGCCUGUUUGAGUGUCAUGGUAUUCUCAAGUCCCGCCCCUCUCGCCUUUGCGUUCAUUCACUCUUGAGCGUGUCAGGGUGGGAGGUUGGUCCAAGGGAUUUGGACUUGGAGACAUGCUGGAAUUUCCGUAAUUUCGGCUUCUCUAAAAUGCAGUAGUGUGAACUUGUGGGUUGCACGUGACUCAGUGUGAUAAUUAUCUGUGCUGUGUUGCGGGGGCGACCCGUCGCAUCUGUGAACAACAGUUUGCUUUGCGGGGGGUUCAUUGCUUUCAAACAGUCUGUUCGGU